rnacentral:lncRNA from 1 species
GUGGUCCUCAAGGUGAUCACAAAUGAUCCCUGCAGUUAGGUUCCGUCAAAAACUCUGUUAGUUUUGCUGACGUGGCAUGUAUAUAUCACAAAAUAUCUUUGAGGUUCAUGUACUUAUCACUGGGUCCCUGCGAAAUUUUUUAAUUUUUUAAAUUUAAAAUUCAUAAAAUUUAAAAAUGAAAAAACCAUUUAUAGAAGGAUUUUAACCUUGAG